rnacentral:rRNA from 1 species
UACAGAGGAUGCAAGCGUUAUCCGGAAUGAUUGGGCGUAAAGCGUCUGUAGGUGGCUUUUUAAGUCCGCCGUCAAAUCCCAGGGCUCAACUCUGGACAGGCGGUGGAAACUACCAAGCUGGAGUACGGUAGGGGCAGAGGGAAUUCCGGGUGUAGCGGUGGAAUGCGUAGAGAUCCGGAAGAACACCGAAAGCGAAGGCAGUCUCCUGGCAAGUUUCUGACGCUCAGGUGCGAAAGCUAGGGGAGCGAACAGG